ACGUACCGAUGGCGGUUUUACGUUCUCGACACGCGGACAUACUUCAUGAUGCAGUGUGCGCAGUAUCGGGAAGUUUUGUACGUGUGAAAGGCCACCCAGCCCUAACCUGGCCGCAUAUCGUAAUUAUGCGUCUAUGUAUCCCAUUCAAUCCGCCCUCGGCCCCUACAUACACACAGAUGGAGGACAUUUCAUGUAUGAUGACGCGUGCGACGCUGUGUCGUAUAUUGAUCGAACGUAAUUUGUAAAAAUGCACGCCGUCGUGAUUUGUCAGCAGGUAGUUGUUUACAACCACUGUACGGAGGGUAGGCCUGGAUGGAUCUGGAUCUGGCACCCAUCUAAAAUUUAGCUGCAUGGAUGACCACCUAUCUACCUACUUAACACUGCUUGUCUCGUUCCAGGUAGAUGGCUAGGUAGGGGUGUCGUCUAACUGGGCGUUGUUCGGUAGCGAUGACGUUACCCGGGGACGUAUACCGAAGGGUCAGUAGUACGCCAAAGCAUCACUCAUACGGCAGCAGGGCCUGUUGUAUUGCCACUUCAUUCGAAAUGCAAGGCAACCUACAGGGCGUCUACAUACAUAAAUCCGCAACCAGCUCUUGACCGGUUGAAAUUGGCUGUUAAACUUACUAAACAGCUGUCACACAUUCAAUAGUGUAAUCAGCUGUUUUUGAAGUGGGUUGCCGGUAAGACGGACUGGUCGUGGCUGUGUUCUGCAGCGUCUGCCUCGGCUGGGGCCAAUGGCGGCGGCGGGCCUUCAAGCUCCUCAGACGUUCCAUCACCCGAAUGCACCUACCCGAAGCUCUGAAAGAUUUCAUUUACGAGAUGGCCCAGGGGCAGUUACGCAUCUUUGCCUUAGACUAUAUUUAGUUCAAUAGCUAGCUUGUGUUGGCGGUACUGGACCGUAGAGAACGGAUCUUGGCAGCGGAAGUCAUCUAAGUACGUUUUUCCUGGAGGCAACGCCCUGUACUAGGCGACCGGGGCAUAUGCAUCCGAUCCCAUCAAACAACAAUCAUACGCGGAAGGUCCGCCUAUGUCGAGCUUCGCGGGCGCGGCUGUUGUAAUGGGGUAAUGGGUGUUCGUCUAAAUACACGCCAGCAGCCCGUAAAGGUGGCUUAGGCCGCCUCAUUAGAAGGUUCUGGGGGUCUAUCUUCUU
rnacentral:lncRNA from 1 species